ACUUUUUUUUCUCCUUGAAAACAGUGCUGUAAUUUUCAUCUCCAAUAAUGGCGGCUCGUGUAUUUCUCUCUCGUUCUGUUCAUCUGCUAUCAAAGGGAAAAAGAUCCCAUCUUGGCAAAAUAGCUGCUUAUAAAUACAGCACAGCGGCUGCUUUCGAGGAGCCCGUCAAGCCUACUGUCAAUGUGGAUCAUACUAAACUUCUUAUCAACGGGCAAUUUGUUGAUUCUGCAUCAGGAAAAACUUUCCCGACUCUCGACCCCAGGACAGGGGAGGUAAUUGCACAUAUUGCUGAAGGUGAUGCAGAAGAUAUUAAUCGGGCAGUUGCUGCUGCUCGUAAGGCUUUCGAUGAAGGACCAUGGCCUAGGAUGACUGCUUAUGAAAGGUCAAAGAUAUUGCUGCGCCUUGCUGAUCUGAUUGAAAAACAUAACGAUCAAAUUGCAACGCUCGAGACUUGGGACACUGGGAAGCCUUAUGCACAAGCUGCUAAGAUUGAAGUACCAAUGGUUGUACGUCUACUCCGUUAUUAUGCUGGCUGGGCAGAUAAAAUUCAUGGUAUGACCAUUCCUGCCGAUGGACCAUAUCAUGUUCAAACGUUGCAUGA
rnacentral:misc_RNA from 1 species